rnacentral:rRNA from 1 species
UACGGAGGGUGCAAGCGUUGCUCGGAAUUAUUGGGCGUAAAGGGUAGGUAGGUGGUCUCAUUUGUCUGGGGUGAAAGCCUUGAGCUUAACUCAAGAAGUGCCUCAGAAACGGUGAGACUAGAGUCCUGGAGAGGGUCGUGGAAUUCCCGGUGUAGCGGUGAAAUGCGUAGAGAUCGGGAAGAACACCAGUGGCGAAGGCGGCCGGCUGGGGGCACCCUGACGCUGAGGCGCGAGAGCGUGGGGAGCAAACCGG